rnacentral:rRNA from 1 species
CUACGGGCGGCUGCAGUGAGGAAUAUUGCACAAUGGGGGGAACCCUGAUGCAGCAACACCGCGUGGAGGAUGACGCAUUUCGGUGUGUAAACUCCUUUUAUAUGUCAAGAAAAUGACGGUAGCAUAUGAAUAAGCACCGGCUAACUCCGUGCCAGCAGCCGCGGUAAUACGGAGGGUGCAAGCGUUACUCGGAAUCACUGGGCGUAAAGGACGCGUAGGCGGGUUGGAAAGUCAGGUGUGAAAUCCUACAGCUUAACUGUAGAACUGCACUUGAAACUUCUAAUCUAGAGUAUGGGAGGGGAGAUGGAAUUAGUGGUGUAGGGGUAAAAUCCGUAGAUAUCACUAGGAAUACCUAAAGCGAAGGCGAUCUCCUGGAACAUUACUGACGCUAAGGCGUGAAAGCGUGGGGAGCAAACAGGAUUAGAUACCCUCGUAGUC